UUUUUUUUUUUUUGGCUCAUUUCCAGACCAGGUUCCCUGUCUGGGAGCUCAGACUCGCUUGGGCUCCAGCCUCCCGGCUCCAUGGACAGCCUGGCUCUGGACUCUAGACCGCCACCAUCACCAGCUCUGCACAAGCAAUACUCCACCUCCCAAGCCCCCCAGCCUCUUGCGCUCUGCCACUGCCCUUGGGGGGGCGGCCUGCCUGCUCUGGAUGCCGCCCCUGCCUCUCUGCUUUCUUUCCACCCCUGUCUGGUUGGAGCUUCCCCGAGCUACUCAAACCCUGACUGGGUUGGCCAGCUGCUGUCCAGGUGGGCACCAGUGCCUGGACUGGACCUUGUAAGAGAGAUGUCUGCUGGGGAUCCUGAGGUCCGGCUCAGGGUCGCCCAGAUCUGCCCCCUUCCUCGUCAGGUCUGGGGUGAAAGGCAAGGGGUUGCCCAGGAGAUGGACACAGCAGCCCUCGGGUCCAUGUCAGGGGGGAAAGAGGUGGCAGGAGAGGUCAAGGUCUGGGUCAGGCUCCUCCCCCUCUGCCUCGUCUCCAGACAGCACCCCCAAGAGCUGCAUGGAUUCUAACCCACAUCCAGGGGGUGGGGGGGGUGGGGAGCCAAGGAGAGAUGCUUGGGCUCCAUUUGUAACCAAAGCCAGACGGGCAUGGAGGGGGGUUCUGGGGAGGGAGGGGUUGGAGAGAGAGGCAUUUCCACCAAGGGGCCUCCGGCAGGGAACACAUUAGGCUGAAGCCACGGUCUGGCCACCUCUCUCCCAAGAAACCCAGGGGGAGAAGCCGGGACCCAGCAGUCCUGCCUGCAGACCAGAGGUGGGCCAGGGCAGACAGUCCUCACAAAAUGAGCUCGUCCUUGUCUUAUCACAGGCGGGGAACCCUGUGCGUGGAGUUUUCUCUUUCUGCAGAAAUUCUCUCCUGGUGUCGGCACUGGCUAAUGCUGCGUGUCUCGUGUUUCUAAAAUUAGCGCCCUGGGCUCUGCCCUUAGUGCCCAGGCCGGGGAGAGGGAGGCAACUCACUUGCCAGAGAGUCGUUUUAUGUCCUGCUGGUGAUGUUGAAAAGUUGGCCUCAGGACGGUGUGAGACUCCUCGACACCUCCUGCGGGGGGUUACUGGUGACCCAGAGGACAGCGUAGGUGUGUGUUGAUGUGGCCCCGAGCGCUGAUACCCAGAGCAGGUGGUCACGUCCAGGGCAUGGGGGAUGCGAAUGAGGGAUGCGAAUGAGGGGGGCCUGUCACCCUCAUUCCUCUAGGGGCCCAGGGAGACAGCAGGCGGGGACCUCCCUGCAGAGCGGUCGAGGACCUUCUAGCCAGAGGCGGGGCCUGACCUGCUGGUACCCUGGGCUGACCCGCCUGCAACCGCCAGCUGCCAAAACUGCCCGAGGGGGCUCCUCCACCCUUCCAGCUGGCUAAUGGGAAGUUCCCCCCAGAAGUUGACCUCGGGUCAUUUUUAACCCUUUGUACCAAAUAAGUUACUAACCCCCACCCGGAUUUUCCUCCACGAGGGUGAAGUCAGAUGGGGCAACGUGUAUGUGGUGGCGAAAGGCUGUGCCUCGGCUUCCCGGAGGCACCAGCUUGGCUGAGCAGCUGGGCUGGAGCUUGCUUGGCCCAGGGGGAGGGAGCACACGUGUGACCCCCAUGCCCUGGAGUUGGGGGCAUCUGUCCUUAGAAGAGGGCAGGGUGGGAAGGGAAGAAACAGGAUCCCCCACCUGCGGCCCACACUGUGCUGUGCUGUGUUGCGGCUCUGCCUGCCCCGGACCCCAGGGGAGCCUGGGGCUGACGACACAGGGGCUCGGUCACUGCCUUGCUCUGCUCAGGCAGGAUUCGUGGAAGGCGUGGCAGAGAUGGCAGCGGCCCUGCAGCAAUGCUGGGCUGUGGGCAGAAGCCGUGACAGAUGAUUCAGAGCAUCUGUCUUCACGGCUCUGCUCUGUUCAGACUGUCCCACUUCCUUCCUAGACACCGGCCCUCAAGGGACGUCUGUGAGGGGCCGUCGCUGUGAAGGAGGCUCCAGCAAAUGGGGCCCAGUCUUGGUUUGAUGAAGGGGAUGCGAUCCUUCGGGGAAGCACCAUCUCCCAACCUCCUCGGCAUCCAGUCCCCCUGCCCCACCCCCUGGCACUCGGUGGCGGGGGUGGGGGGAGCUCGCUGGAGCCGAGGGAAAGGGCCCCCCCCCCCCAACUCACCACUCCUGGUUGACCCCCACCAGGGCAAGCAUGCCUGAGCUCUUUACUGCCAGCCUCAAGGAGAGCAGAAGUCCCCUGCCCCUUGUAAAGACAAUUAGAGCCCUCCAAGGGUCCUCCUUUGGAAGUGAAAUGUAGCACAAUCUUAGACUGCGUGACCAGGAGCCCUGGCCUGCAACCAGGGUUCUGGCUGCCUACCUUGCUGCCCAGGAGACGCUGUGCUGCCCCCACCCUGGGGCUCCAAAGCACCUGAUACCUCUGCUUCCCCAUCUUCCUCCGCCCAGAGAGCAGCAGGGCUUCCAGAAGGCUGCUCUUCCGCUUCUGAUUGCUUCCUGCACUGUGCAAGCCCCGUGCAAGAAAUUGCUGCCUUUGCUCCACGGUGCCCUUUGGGGCCAGGAGGCGGUCAAGCGGGAGUGCUGCAGUGGCCACAGCAGAGAGACAAGAAGAGGCCUGCUGCCCUGCCGACUCCUGCCCCUUCCUCUGCCUCUCCCCGGUGUUGUCUUCUCUCCUUCCUCCUCUGCAAAACCAGAGCAUUUGGUAGUUACUCCAUGCUUCCCUCCAGGUGUUAAAAGUCUGGUCUGGAGCUGAUGAGGGUUGUGAGCCUGGUGUGCCUGGCACCUGGCUCCAGAGGCUGGUUCCCUCCAGCCCCCGGUGCCCACGCGGGUGCAGGUCUGGUCUGUCUCCGCCCAGAUGCUGCUUCUGACAAGAACUCUGGGAAUCCUCACGGCCUCUGCUGCCGCCUCUGUGGUUUGUUGUUCUGUUCUUCUUGAGAUCAUUAAGGGUUGUCUACAGUGGACAAGUUCCAAGGUGCUGAUGUGAUGUCACAACCUCAGCUGCAUCCUGCGCCAGCCAGUAUCCCCACUGGCAGAGGAGGAUGGGUCGGUCCUCGUUCCUGCUUCUAGAAUGUGGUCAGCAGGAGGAUUUUUAAGGAGAUGCCUUCCGAUGGGAGGAGAGAGGAAACUUAUUUCCCUGCAAAGUAUUUCACUUCUUAAAUAUUACUCUUCUCUCCAGCAUCUCUUACCAGACAUCAUCUCAGCGGGCAGAGCGGCUGCUUCCUUAGCAAAUGUUGGCCUGAUGUACCAUCCGCUCCUUGAGAAUGUAAAUUCACAGGAGGCAGGAACCCCUUUUUUAGAAUUUCCAAAUGCAUCCUGCAGAGAGAGAGAGAGGCGCACACACGCGUGCACUGAGAGGGAGAUAAGCACAUUGUUUGGAUAAGAAGCAGUUAGCCUUUUAUCUCCGUGCGCUAUACAUUUUCUGUGUGCAGCGUCUUUCCAAACUCGUGGCUCCAGGUGGCAGGUGGACGGCUGGGAAGGACUGCCGGCUGUUUCUUACAACACUCUUGCCAAUCCCCUUGAGGAGAAAAUUCUUCACAUGGCUUCUGCAUGUACAGUAUUUGGGCAGCAAAAAUAUAAAUAAAGAUUAAAGUCAGUUUGAAAA